rnacentral:tRNA from 1 species
UGGGGUGUGGCUCAGGGGUAGAGCUCUUGCCUAGCAUGUACGAGGCCCUGGGUUUGAUUCUCAGCACCACAU